UACGAAGGGGACUAGCGUUGUUCGGAAUUACUGGGCGUAAAGGGCGCGUAGGCGGUGUGUCAAGUCAGGCGUGAAAGCCCCGGGCUCAACCUGGGAACCGCGCUUGAGACUGGCACGCUCGAGUUCGGGAGAGGAUGGUGGAAUUCCCAGUGUAGAGGUGAAAUUCGUAGAUAUUGGGAAGAACACCGAUGGCGAAGGCAGCCAUCUGGACCGACACUGACGCUGAGGCGCGAAAGCGUGGGGAGCAAACAGG
rnacentral:rRNA from 1 species